CGAGUUGGCCGCUAGGGUUCCGACCUUGCCACGCAAGGUGCUGGUCCGAGAGCAGCCGCUUGCGGGGGAGACAUCCCCGCAGGUGCACGGCGGGAUAAAAGCCCGGGAGAC
rnacentral:sRNA from 1 species